CAUAGAUUCACUUUAUAAAAGGUGUUUUGUCAUGUAAUAAUCCAUCCUAUGUAAGUUAGAGACUGCAUUGUGUUGAUAAAACAUUUUUUUAGAUUUCAGUUUUAAGUAACUAUAUAUAUAUUGAUAUAAUGCUUACAGACCAUAUAUGUAUGUAUUAUUGUAUGUCUGCCUGCAAGAAUUUGAAGCUGCUAGAAAUCAGAAAUUUGGAGAUGUUAUAGAGGGUCCACUGAACUGGUUUGGGGAAAAAAUAUGGCAACCUGAAAUUCCAUCCCAAAUUGAUAAAAAAAGGGGGGAAGCUAAAUUUCAUAUGUUUAUUUUAUGGCUUAAAAAUCAUUAUUUUUCAAUCAUUUGAGUGUUUCGUGCUGAGAAA
rnacentral:lncRNA from 1 species